UGAUUGGAGGAGAGGGGUGAGUGGCCUCCAUUUCAGCUCAGGCACCCAGGGCUGAGGUGGGAGCUGCUGCAAACAGCCAGAGAAAGGACAUCACUCAGUUGGAGCUGCUUAGAACAUCUUGGAGCUGCUUGACCAAAAAUAUCACUGUCACUGUUGGAGCAUCCUGAGCGAAAACUGCUUUGACUUUCAGGACAGAUUUUUUUCACCUAGAGAUGGCAGGCUACGGAGCAUAAUGUACUAUUAAGAUGUGGACUCUAUGGUUCAAGAUUUUCAUACUACUGCUGGCACUUGUACUUCUGGUGCAAGGAGACACCUGAAAAGGAGAAUGCAGAGGAGACUUCCACUCAGGCCUACCUCUCUAUGAGCAAGGCUAUCAUUGUUGUGUGGUACUCCAUUAUUGUUGGAAAUUACCACAAGAAACUCAGUGUGAUGCAGUUAACUCCCAGACAGCAUCAUUCAGAAUUUCUGGAUUGGCAUCUACCUGAACUAAGUCUAAAGUUCCUUGGUGGUGUAAACAAAUGAAAGGAACUGAUAUACAGUGUACCUGAUCAGGCAUAAUUCUACUGGGUGUUGAGGAAUAAUGGUUCAGUGUACUGGAAAUUGCGCUUAUACUAAGUUGAUGUUUACUAACUAUUAUCCAAGUGUGGACGUAGGAGUCUAUGCAAAUUUAAAUAGAGGUCCAAAUAAUGAACCAUUCUAUGCCACGUAUUUGACAACCAAAAUGUUCCCUUUAGCAAGCACAGUCAAGACCUUGUCCUGGAUGCGGACCACUCAAAAGAACCUGAAUGAUAUCCUGGCCUUACAGUUCAAUUUUGGUCCCCCUCUGUUCCCCGUAAUUAAAUAUCCUGAUUAUUGGCAAUUAAAUUGGCCUGUGAUCCCCAGCUAGAUUCUAGCUGGCCAAUUCAAUGCGUCUCUCACAAUCAUUACCAAUUCCUCUCAGUUCAAUUUUACUUGGGGACUUGAUACCUGCCAGGCUCAACAUACUGCUACUCACAACAUAAGCAAUGCUACCUUUGUGCAGACAUUCUUUGUAGACAGCCCUGACAGUGGUAUUUGGAAAUUUUAGGGUCCCAAUGGUACAACUAAAACACAACUGGUUAAGGUGCGUGGAGAAGCACAUAAAAUGACAGUGGGUCCAGUUGUAGUAAAAACAGAUGUAUAAUUGGAUGUGGGAAUUCAACCAAUUGUCCAUGCCAUUAACAUCUCAAUCAAUUUGUGUCCAUGUUAAUCAAACAAGAAAACCCCAGUGUUUAAAUCUUACACAGCCCUUACAAAAGGGUUGGGAAAAAUGAUUAAAAGGUGAAGUCCUUGUUAGCACAGAAAAAAGGAAAAGAUUGGUUGACAGUUCUUGGAGCUGCAGGAACUGGGAUGUAAAUGAUGAAUUCCAUUGAUUCAGAAGCAAUGACAAAUAAAAUAAGUACCCUAGGAUCACUCCUGCAGAAAUUGGCACUCAUUUUACAGUUUUACAGUCAGUCAUUUACAACUACAGAUGGCAGACUUAAACCAAAGUCUGAGUAAUAUUCUUUCUGCGGAUAGUGCCACCUUGGUGACGGCUAUCUUGUAGUUAGGAGCAAAUACCUCAACAGCCCUUACAUGCACACAAGCACAACUGUGGCAAUUAUGUCAUUGCCAAGAGUGUGGUCGACCAAGCCUUGAAGGGAGAUAUACCUGAAGGAAACAUGUGGCCAAUGCCUGGGCCAAACUGAUUACAUCAGCACCCAAUAUCACUACACACACACUGAGCCUCACCAUUCUUGACUAUCAGCUACAGCAAUUCCUAGGAGCUAGCCCAAUAAUACCUCUAGGUGUCAUCAUUAAUAAAAUGGUUCUCAUGCCUAUAAUAUUGUCCCAAUGGGCAGCUGAAGUACAAGACUACUGGAAAGAAAUCAACUUGCAGCUAUGUGAAACAGUUAAUCAACAAGCUUAUACAUGCCCAAAACUGUUUUGUAUUAUAAAGAUGUUUGUCUGAGUAUUGAUCAAGUGGAAUAUCAGUAUUCUAUGUAUCUAGAUUAUUCGAACCAAAAUAAGGUAAUUGAUAUAGGGGAUGGAUGUGUAUGUUUUCGAACCAUGUAUGAUGUUGUGUUAGUUAACUCACAAAAUGUAUUUUUAGAAGAGAGUUCUAACUGUUUUUGUAAUGGUGUUGAAAUUUCAGGAUGUGACCUUAAUUUCAGUAGACAAAUGUUUAGUCAACAGUCUUUCACUUGGGGUUUUCAUAUUUUUUAUAAAACAGACUUAAGUGUAGUCCAAUUAGGAGUGUGUCCAGAUGAGCUACACAAAUAAAUCCACCAUCAUUUAUAUCAAAAGGUUCAAGAGGUUCAAAAUUCAGCAAAAAACACUGUCACAGUACAGCAUAUAAGCAAAACUGUUAUCAGUUUAUUAGACAAGAUAUAAGAAGUCAUGCAACAUCGCUGGUGGGAAAGCCUCCUUGGAUUGUCUCCUACUGCAACUAACAUCCUUAAUAAGGCUUUGCACCCCAUUGUUCCCAGCAAUGAUUCUUUAUUCCUUCCCUCUCAGCUCAUCGCAAUCUCACACCAUUUCUAGCCAGCUGAUCCUCAACUCCUCUUUGCCUCUGCCUUUCCAAUUGGCUCUCUCCUCAUUUUUGCGUGCCAUACCUCCAUCCUUGUUGUCAUCUGGGUCUCUCUCCUCCUCACUCUCUCAGUGGGGAUGCUCUAGCUGCAUCAAGCAGCUACUCCAGAAGCACAGCUCCCUUUUUUCCUCACUUAGUUCUUGCCGGUGUUCAGUUCGUGCCAUCACCAGCUCUCUACCUUCAUGACAAUCACAGAGUCAAUAUGAGUCUGCAGUGUGAUGCAUCUGCACAGAAGGCAA